AUUGAACGCUGGCGGCAUGCCUUACACAUGCAAGUCGAACGGCAGCACGGGAGCAAUCCUGGUGGCGAGUGGCGAACGGGUGAGUAAAGUAUCGGAACGUGCCCAGUCGUGGGGGAUAACGUAGCGAAAGUUACGCUAAUACCGCAUACGACCUAUGGAUGAAAGCGGGGGACCGCAAGACCUCGCGCGAUUGGAGCGGCCGAUAUCAGAUUAGGUAGUUGGUGGGGUAAAGGCUCACCAAGCCGACGAUCUGUAGCUGGUCUGAGAGGACGACCAGCCACACUGGGACUGAGACACGACCCAGACUCCUACGGGAGGCAGCAGUGGGGAAUUUUGGACAAUGGGCGCAAGCCUGAUCCAGCCAUGCCGCGUGCAGGAUGAAGGCCUUCGGGUUGUAAACUGCUUUUGUACGGAACGAAAAGGUUUGACUUAAUACGUUGGACUCAUGACGGUACCGUAAGAAUAAGCACCGGCUAACUACGUGCCAGCAGCCGCAGUAA
rnacentral:rRNA from 1 species